rnacentral:rRNA from 1 species
GACGAACGCUGGCGGCGUGCCUAACACAUGCAAGUCGAACGGUGAACCUCUUCGGAGGGGAUCAGUGGCGAACGGGUGAGUAACACGUGGGCAACCUGCCCCCGGCUCUGGGAUAACUCCAAGAAAUUGGGGCUAAUACCGGAUGUUCACCGCUUCCCGCAUGGGUGGUGGUGGAAAGGGUUUCCGGCUGGGGAUGGGCCCGCGGCCUAUCAGCUUGUUGGUGGGGUAGUGGCCUACCAAGGCGACGACGGGUAGCCGGCCUGAGAGGGUGACCGGCCACACUGGGACUGAGACACGGCCCAGACUCCUACGGGAGGCAGCAGUGGGGAAUAUUGCGCAAUGGGCGGAAGCCUGACGCAGCGACGCCGCGUGGGGGAUGACGGCCUUCGGGUUGUAAACCUCUUUCAGCAGGGACGAAGCGCAAGUGACGGUACCUGCAGAGGAAGCACCGGCCAACUACGUG